rnacentral:tRNA from 1 species
UUAGGCAGGUAAGCGGCAGGAUUCCCAUCGACUGCACGUCUGACUUCUAAUCCGACGGUCGCAGGUUCGAAUCCUGCAGGGCGCGCCA